AGCGAACGCUGGCGGCAGGCCUAACACAUGCAAGUCGAACGAACCCUUCGGGGUUAGUGGCGGACGGGUGAGUAACACGUGGGAACGUGCCUUUAGGUCCGGAAUAACUCAGGGAAACUUGUGCUAAUACCGAGUGUGCCCUUCGGGGGAAAGAUUUAUCGCCUUUAGAGCGGCCCGCGUCUGAUUAGCUAGUGGGUGAGGUAAUGGCUCACCAAGGCUACGAUCAGUAGCUGGUCUGAGAGGAUGACCAGCCACAUUGGGACUGAGACACGGCCCAAACUCCUACGGGAGGCAGCAGUGGGGAAUCUUGCGCAAUGGGCGAAAGCCUGACGCAGCCAUGCCGCGUGGAUGAUGAAGGUCUUAGGAUUGUAAAAUCCUUCCACCGGUGAAGAUAAUGACUGUAGCCGGAGAAGAAGCCCCGGCUAACUUCGUGCCAGCCGCCGCGGUAACAC
rnacentral:rRNA from 1 species